rnacentral:ncRNA from 1 species
UCCUGACUCUCUAAAUAGAGUAAGUUAGGGCUACACGCCAGUUUAUUAGCACUUUAUUUAAAUUUAUUUUAAGUCGUGAAAUACAGAAAUUUCUUACGAGGAAUUUCCGUGAAAAGAAUUUGCUCUCUUAAUUGAUAAAUUGGCUAUAAGCA